rnacentral:rRNA from 1 species
AGCGAACGCUGGCGGCAGGCUUAACACAUGCAAGUCGAGCGGGCACUUCGGUGUCAGCGGCAGACGGGUGAGCAACACGUGGGAACGUACCCUUUGGUUCGGAAUAACGCUGGGAAACUAGCGCUAAUACCGGAUAUGCCCUUUACGGGAAAGGCUGGCUGCGGAAGGAUCGGCCCGCGUCUGAUUAGCUGGUUGGUGGGGUAAUGGCCUACCAAGGCGACGAUCAGUAGCUGGUCUGAGAGGAUGAUCAGCCACACUGGGACUGAGACACGGCCCAGACUCCUACGGGAGGCAGCAGUGGGGAAUAUUGGACGAUGGGCGCAAGCCUGAUCCAGCCAUGCCGCGUGAGUGAUGAAGGCCUUAGGGUUGUAAAGCUCUUUUGUCCGGGACGAUAAUGACGGUACCGGAAGAAUAAGCCCCGGCUAACUUCGUG